rnacentral:rRNA from 1 species
GAUGAACGCUGGCGGCGUGCCUAAUACAUGCAAGUCGAGCGAACGGACGAGAAGCUUGCUUCUUUGAUGUUAGCGGCGGACGGGUGAGUAACACGUGGAUAACCUACCUAUAAGACUGGGAUAACUUCGGGAAACCGGAGCUAAUACCGGAUGAUAUUAUGAACCGCAUGGUUCAAAAGUGAAUGACGGUCUUGCUGUCACUUAUAGAUGGAUCCGCGCUGCAUUAGCUAGUUGGUAAGGUAACGGCUUACCAAGGCAACGAUGCAUAGCCGACCUGAGAGGGUGAUCGGCCACACUGGAACUGAGACACGGUCCAGACUCCUACGGGAGGCAGCAGUAGGGAAUCUUCCACAAUGGGCGAAAGCCUGACGGAGCAACGCCGCGUGAGUGAAGAAGGUCUUCGGAUCGUAAAACUCUGUUAUUAGGAAAGAACAUAUGUAUAAGUAACUGUGGACAUCUUGACGGUACCUAAUCAGAAAGCCCCGGCUAACUACGUG